rnacentral:lncRNA from 1 species
CGGUCAGUCGGUCCAGAUCCGGAGAGAAUGUGCAAAUCGCAGAGAGAGAGAGAGAGAGAGAGAAGGAAAAAGUUUUGAAUCCCUGAAUGAAUUUGUAGAAAGGCGGCUUAGGAUCAUUAUGUCAGCUUUAUUGAGGAAGGAUUAAGCAGAGUCUAGAUGCUACGCCUUAUACUCGGCUCUUUCACAAUGAGG